rnacentral:rRNA from 2 species
UUUCGCACACGACGUAUAAGAAUCUUCCACAAUGGACGAAAGUCUGAUGGAGCAACGCCGCGUGAGUGAUGAAGGUUUUCGGAUCGUAAAACUCUGUUGUUAAAGAAGAACAAGUGUUAGAGUAACUGUUAACACUUUGACGGUAUUUAACCAGAAAGCCACGGCUAACUACGUGCCAGCAGCCGCGGUAAUACGUAGGUGGCAAGCGUUGUCCGGAUUUAUUGGGCGUAAAGCGAGCGCAGGCGGUUUUGUAAGUCUGCUGUGAAAGCCCUCAGCUCAACUGAGGAAGUGCAGUGGAAACUACAAAACUUGAGUACAGAAGAGGAAAGUGGAACUCCAUGUGUAGCGGUGAAAUGCGUAGAUAUAUGGAAGAACACCAGUGGCGAAGGCGGCUUUCUGGUCUGUUACUGACGCUGAGGCUCGAAAGCAUGGGUAGCGAACAGGAUUAGAUACCCUGGUAGUCCAUGCCGUAAACGAUGAAUACUAGGUGUUGGAGGGUUUCCGCCCUUCAGUGCCGCAGCUAACGCAUUAAGUAUUCCGCCUGGGGAGUACGACCGCAAGGUUGAAACUCAAAGGAAUUGACGGGGGCCCGCACAAGUGGUGGAGCAUGUGGUUUAAUUCGAUGCUACGCGAAGAACCUUACCAGCUCUUGACAUCUUCUGCCUAACCCAAGAGAUUGGGCGUUCCCUUCGGGGAACAAGGGAA